UACGUAGGGGACCAGCGUUGUCCGGAAUUACUGGGCGUAAAGCGCACGUAGGUGGCUUUGUAAGUUAGAGGUGAAAGCCCGGGGCUCAACUCCGGAAUUGCCUUUAAGACUGCAUCGCUAGAACGUCGGAGAGGUAAGUGGAAUUCCGAGUGUAGAGGUGAAAUUCGUAGAUAUUCGGAAGAACACCAGUGGCGAAGGCGACUUACUGGACGACUGUUGACACUGAGGUGCGAAAGCGUGGGGAGCAAACAGG
rnacentral:rRNA from 1 species